ensembl:snoRNA SNORD58 Small nucleolar RNA SNORD58
CUGCAGUGAUGACUUUCUUAGGACACCUUUGGAUUAAUCAUGAAAAUAAAAGUGAUUUCUGAGCAGC